rnacentral:rRNA from 1 species
CCUAACACGAUGCAAGUCGAGCGAGGACUUCGGUCCUAGCGGACGGACGGGUGAGUAACGCGUGGGAAUAUGCCCAAAGGUACGGAAUAGCCUCGGGAAACUGGGAGUAAUACCGUAUGUGCCCUUCGGGGGAAAGAUUUAUCGCCUUUGGAUUAGCCCGCGUUUGGAUUAGGUAGUUGGUGAGGUAAUGGCCUACCAAGCCGACGAUCCAUAGCNGGUUUGAGAGGAUGAUCAGCCACACUGGGACUGAGACACGGCCCAGACUCCUACGGGAGGCAGCAGUGGGGAAUCUUAGACAAUGGGGGAAACCCUGAUCUAGCCAUGCCGCGUGAGCGAUGAAGGCCUUAGGGUUGUAAAGCUCUUUCAGCUGGGAAGAUAAUGACGGUACCAGCAGAAGAAGCCCCGGCUAACUCCGUG